UACGUAGGGGGCAAGCGUUGUCCGGAUUUAUUGGGCGUAAAGAGCGAGUAGGCGGCUAGAUAGGUCCGUUGUGAAAACUGGAGGCUCAACCUCCAGCUGUCGAUGGAAACCAUCUAGCUAGAGUCCGGAAGAGGAGAGUGGAAUUCCUGGUGUAGCGGUGAAAUGCGCAGAUAUCAGGAAGAACACCCGUGGCGAAGGCGGCUCUCUGGGACGUGACUGACGCUGAGACGCGAAAGCGUGGGGAGCGAACAGG
rnacentral:rRNA from 1 species